CCCCCCCCCUCUUCUCUCCCCUCCCCACCCGCCACGCUGGAAGCCUCCUGUGUGGAAGGACAGGUCCAUCAGACCACGUCCAUGUGCAGUUAUGGUUUCAGACGCAGCUCUAUGCUGCUGCGUGUAUUAAGGCCUUUAUUGUCAGCAUGAGUCAGCAAAUUUGACUCUUCAUUAGACGUGUGCGGAUGGUUUCCUGUGUCGCUGUUUAACAGCUGACCUCUGGUGAAGGAGUCCAGUUUAUACGUGUGACGGUGCUUCCAGUUCGAUCAGGCAUUCAGUUUCUUUCAACCCAUUUUUUAGUCAAUAGCUGCAUUAUGUCUGAUAAGUGGCUGUCUGGUGUUUUUUCAUGGCUGACAUUUCAUAGCAUAAAAAGAACAGGAGAGGAACAGCUGCACUCCAUGUCCCUCAUGACCGUGAGCCGUGCUAUACGGCUCGGCGGCGCCCCACCUCUGGAGUGGUCCGUCGCUGUUGCUGGGACUUUGUGAUUCCCCUCCUCGCCUCCCCCAUCCCGUCCCA
ensembl:lncRNA